GAGUUUGAUUAUGGCUCAGGAUGAACGCUGGCGGUAUGCCUUAUACAUGCAAGUCGUACGAGAGUUUUUAGCUCAAGUGGCGGACGGGUGAGUAACACGUAAGAAUUUGCCUUUAGGAGGGGGACAACAACUGGAAACGGUUGCUAAUACCCCAUAUGCUUUCGAGUGAAAUGGUUUUUCCGCCUAAAGAGAAGCUUGCGGCUGAUUAGCUUGUUGGUAGAGUAAUAGCCUACCAAGGCGACGAUCAGUAUCUGGUUUGAGAGGACGAUCAGACACACUGGAACUGAGACACGGUCCAGACUCCUACGGGAGGCAGCAGUAGGGAAUUUUCCGCAAUGGGCGAAAGCCUGACGGAGCAAUACCGCGUGAGGGAUGACUGCCUAUGGGUUGUAAACCUCUUUUUUCAGGGAGGAAUAAAUGACGUGUACCUGAAGAAUAAGCAUCGGCUAACUCCGUGCCAGCAGCCGCGGUAAGACGGAGGAUGCAAGUGUUAUCCGGAAUCACUGGGCGUAAAGCGUCUGUAGGUGGUCAAAUAAGUCAACUGUUAAAUCUUGGGGCUCAACCUCAAAAUCGCAGUCGAAACUAUUAGGCUAGAGUAUAGUAGAGGUAAAGGGAAUUUCCAGUGGAGCGGUGAAAUGCGUAGAGAUUGGAAAGAACACCGAUGGCGAAGGCACUUUACUGGGCUAUUACUGACACUCAGAGACGAAAGCUAGGGUAGCAAAUGGGAUUAGAUACCCCAGUAGUCCUAGCCGUAAACAAUGGAUACUAGGUGUUGAACAGAUCGAUCUGUGCAGUACUAAAGCUAAUGCGUUAAGUAUCCCGCCUGGGAAGUAUGCACGCAAGUGUGAAACUCAAAGGAAUUGACGGGGGCCCGCACAAGCGGUGGAGCAUGUGGUUUAAUUCGAUGCAACGCGAAGAACCUUACCAGGGUUUGACAUGAUACGAAUUUCUUUGAAAAAAGAAAGUGCCUUUUGGAACGUAUACACAGGUGGUGCAUGGCUGUC
rnacentral:rRNA from 1 species